AGCACCCCUGUAUGGGGUUUCUGGAGCAGCUCAGGGCCCCACAGACGAAGAACUGUGAGCCUAAAUCCUCAGGAAGACGUUCUGAGAUGCACUUAGAACUGGAGGGGCCUUGUCCAAGGGACAAAACCAUACCCCUCUCAGGGGGGAUACAUUUUAAUCAGCAGGGCUUGAUUGUGGAUAUAAUUUCCAUUUUAAGAAGAUUCUUCCCAGUUAUUUGAUGAAUGUAUGCCAGUGGUAUUUGGCUAAUUCUGUGGUAUUUGUGGUAUUUCCAAACAACGAAUGUAACACAGAGCACUCAAACAGUGACAGAUGAUCCAUUAUGAUGUUUGUUUUAUAAUUUUCUCGACUUGUCCUCUCUGCUUACAUUUGUUAUUGCUGUGAUAUGUGAAGGACUCAUAGGAGAGAGAGGUAAAGCUGAUAGCUUGAAGGUUGUGAUGUUGGAUGAGAAAUAAAAAUAAAUCACAAGUCGAGUGUUUAAA